rnacentral:rRNA from 1 species
AGAGUGAACGCUGGCGGCAGGCCUAACACAUGCAAGUCGAACGGCAGCACAGCAGUAGCAAUACUGUGGGUGGCGAGUGGCGGACGGGUGAGGAAUACAUCGGAAUCUACCUUGUCGUGGGGGAUAACGUAGGGAAACUUACGCUAAUACCGCAUACGCACUACGGUGGAAAGCGGCGGACCGCAAGGCGUCGCGCGAUUGGAUGAGCCGAUGUCCGAUUAGCUAGUUGGCGGGUAAAGGCCCACCAAGGCGACGAUCGGUAGCUGGUCUGAGAGGAUGAUCAGCCACACUGGAACUGAGACACGGUCCAGACUCCGUACGGGAGGCAGCAGUGGGGAAUAUUGGACAAGUGGGCGCAAGCCUGAUCCAACCAUGCCGCGUGUGUGAAGAAGGUCCUUGGUUGUAAGCUACUUUGACGAAAGAAAG